rnacentral:rRNA from 1 species
ACGAACGCUGGCGGCGUGCUUAACACAUGCAAGUCGAACGGAAAGGCCCUGCUUUUGUGGGGUGCUCGAGUGGCGAACGGGUGAGUAACACGUGAGUAACCUGCCCUUGACUUUGGGAUAACUUCAGGAAACUGGGGCUAAUACCGGAUAGGAGCUCCUGCUGCAUGGUGGGGGUCGGAAAGUUUCGGCGGUGGGGGAUGGACUCGCGGCUUAUCAGCUUGUUGGUGGGGUAGUGGCUUACCAAGGCUUUGACGGGUAGCCGGCCUGAGAGGGUGACCGGCCACAUUGGGACUGAGAUACGGCCCAGACUCCUACGGGAGGCAGCAGUGGGGAAUAUUGCACAAUGGGCGGAAGCCUGAUGCAGCAACGCCGCGUGCGGGAUGACGGCCUUCGGGUUGUAAACCGCUUUCGCCUGUGACGAAGCGUGAGUGACGGUAAUGGGUAAAGAAGCACCGGCUAACUACGUG